CAGUGAGAAAAAUGAUCGGCGAUCGACUAGCAGUGUCUGCUGAAUGAAGGAAAAGGGAAAGCUCGCCACUUUGCCUCAUUCUCCUUUGAGCUAUUGAAGGCAAAACAUCGUGGUUUGAGUGUUCAUUCUGAUAUCCCUAUCCAGCUUUGUUUGAUCCCCGGCAGGCGCAGCUUGUCAGUGUAUGCUGGUGAAACGUCCCUAAUCAAAGAAUCUGUCGGAGCGAGCCGGAGCGGCGUUCCGCGGGGCUGAGCAUCAUCACGGCCUUUCAUGUCGCGCGGCUGAAAGGAGAAAUGGCCGAGAAGGAUCUUUAGCAGGAUUUUUGGCUCAAGAUUGAACACAAUCUGUCGAAUAACACCAAGAUGAGCGCCAGGCGGAAGAGUGGAAUGAAAGGCAAACAAAAAAGGAGAGAGUGCACAUGGAAAUGAAGAUACAAGGCUUGCUCCUGAAUCCAGCACACUUUAAUCCCAUUAACACCGACUAAAUAAACCAUUUGUUUUAAGCUUGCCACUGGUGCUGUUUAUGAUAAUGGGCCGCUCGCUGGAGGCGAUUUCACAAGACUUUUGGAGGGCACCGGUUAAUAAUUAGAUUUAAUAAGGAAGUCAAUUUCCAUCCUCAUUUGAAAUAAAAAUA